AGGGGUACUGACAAGAUAUUUUCGACUAUUAAUUUCUUGCGUUAAAUGAAGGUCAUAGGCAUCUAAACUCUAGAAGAAAUAAAAAGCAGGAGGC
rnacentral:lncRNA from 1 species